rnacentral:rRNA from 1 species
CCUACGGGAGGCAGCAGUGGGGGAUAUUGCACAAUGGGGGAAACCCUGAUGCAGCGACGCCGCGUGGGUGAAGGAGCGUUUCGGCGCGUAAAGCCCUAUCGGCAGGGAAGAAGAAGGACGGUACCUGACUAAGAAGCCCCGGCUAACUACGUGCCAGCAACCGCGGUAAUACGGCGGGUGCAAGCGUUAUCCGGAUUUACUGGGGGUAAAGGGGGCGUAGGCGGCAGCGCAAGCCAGGAGGGAAAGCCCGGGGCCCAACCCCGGGACUGCUCUUGGAACUGCGCGGCUGGAGUGCAGGAGAGGCAGGCGGAAUGCCUGGUGUAGCGGUGAAAUGCGUAGAUAUCAGGAGGAACACCGGUGGCGAAGGCGGCCUGCUGGACUGCGACUGACGUUGAGGCCCGAAAGCGUGGGGAGCAAACAGGAUUAGAUACCCCAGUAGUC